CAGCAGGCUAGAGGAGCCAGCCUCCUGCUGACAUUAGAAUGAGUCUUCCUGACAUACCAAAAAUUUGACAUAAGAGUCCAGACAAGCAGCAUCUCUCAGUCCAAAAAGUUGCUUUCUGCUACAGCCAAGCAUUAUUGCAUCCAAGUUCAAGUGCCUAAAGGGGACUGGACACUAAACGGUUAGCAGAGCUAAAAUAGAGACAGAUAUGCCAAGGCAGAUAUGUGGCCUGAACACAAGACUUAAGAUGACUUACUACUUAAUUGUUGCAAGAGAAAGAGAUGAGCUCCCUACACAAACUCUGGAGGAAUGUGUCCUGGCAGAGAAGGCCUGGAGUAGAAUGUCUGCCAAAGCUGGGGUUGGACAGACGGACGUCGUCUAAAAGACUUAUGUCAUUUUUGUUGGCCCAUCAUCAAAAAGUGCCAUGCACCAAUUGGUUCGUGGCUGACAAUGAGGCGGACUUUAUGCAGCACGUCAUGAAGCUUUCGUGCCUCCAAGAGGGAUUAUAUUAGAGUUUGGAAACUCAUAUAUUCAAGUUAUGUAUUUUCUGUGCCAUAGUGCGGUUACUGAAUUCCUGAAGGAAUUGAGACAUAGCUAGUAAGUCACAGUUAUCUCCAGUUAAAACAACUUUUAGGAAUGUCAAUGGGUAAUAACUGGUUUGUUUCUUGUUUUUAUGUGUUUCAGUAAAUUCCUGCCUAAAACCAUCCGUUCAACUUAACAUAAAUUCGUUAUCCGUAUAUGAUAACGAGAGGCCUGUUUCUU